rnacentral:rRNA from 1 species
GAUGAACGCUGGCGGCGUGCCUAAUACAUGCAAGUCGAGCGAACAGACGAGGAUCUUGCUCCUCUGACGUUAGCGGCGGACGGGUGAGUAACACGUGGAUAACCUACCUAUAAGACUUGGAUAACUUCGGGAAACCGGAGCUACUACCGGAUAAUAUAUUGAACCGCAUGGUUCAAUAGUGAAAGACGGUUUUGCUGUCACUUAUAGAUUUAUCCGCGCCGCAUUAGCUAGUUGGUAAGGUAACGGCUUACCAAGGCGACGAUGCGUAGCCGACCUGAGAGGGUGAAGGGCGCCAGUGGGACUGAGAGACGGUCCAGACUCCUACGGGAGGCAGAAGUAGGGAAUGGUCGGCAAUGGGCGAAAGCCUGAAGGAGCAACGCAGCGUGAGUGAUGAAGGUCUGCGGAUCGUAAAACUCUGUUAUUAGGGAAGAACAAAUGUGUAAGUAACGAUGCACGUCUUGACGGUACCUAAUCAGAAAGCCACGGCUAACUACGUG